CGCGCACCUACCACCUGAACGACCACCCACCAGUUCUUCAAUCCAAAGUACCACCACGAGAACCGAUCAGCUGAGCUCUACGAUGUAUGUAUGUGGCUUGUAUGUCUGAGAAACAUCGAAAGCAUGUUUUCAAACAUCGAUGCAUCCACCUUAACGAGCUUCCAUAAAUAAGCGUCUUUUUUAUACCCUACGAUAUUUCGACAGCCUUCCAAACGAUCUCCCUGCUGUCGUAAAUAACGCUUUCAACGGUUAGGGGAAAGUUUCGUCAUGUGCAUCGAAGCUUUGUCAAAGGUUACGGUAACUAAGUGCGUCAGUAUAACUUUCUUUAAAGUUCUUUGUUAAAUUUCUAUCUGAAAGAAGUGAAUAUUGAAUCAGAAUAUUAGGUUUCCGGGCUAAAGGUUCUUGAACAAUUGAUGCAAAGGUAUUAUUCGAAAAUAAAUCUUCCUCGUCUAUUUUGAGCCGAUCCAUUCAGGGAAGAUUCCUAUUGAGAGGAAGACUCGCGUAGAAUUCAAAGCGCGCGGAACACCUUGUUAAUGCAUUAAGACAGCGCGAGAGCCUAGUAAUUGGCACUUGUAAAUUUAAUUACCGACAAAUGAGUUGUAACAGAGACAUGAAUACCAGCUAAGACAGAGAAGAGAAUAUGAAAAGGUAUUAACGAUGUAAUACAUAUUCCUAUGUAAUCUCUGGGAAAUUAAUUCACACGUAUAAUAAACCGUGCGUGAUAAAAUUACGGCGACCUCCGUGGUCGGUGAUUUCGUACGUAUGUAGGAGAAAUUAUGGCGUGAUCAAUUGACUGAAGCUGUCCUUGCCCUCGAGACGAAGUUGGCUCGUUUCCAGGGCGAAAGGUAUCGCGUCGCUUCUCCUGGUCACGGUACACCUCGCCAAGAUCACGGACGACUAGUCAGACCUGGAGGACGCUGCUUGUAUACCCUCUCAAAUCGCAAACAAACAGAUAUUGGUGUUCGAUAAAACAAAAAUGAAGAGCAUUCGAAGGAAAUCGUGUUCAGAAAUCAAUACCGACCACCGAGGAAAUGUUCUCGAGCUACGUAGGUACAUUCAGAAACCGUACCAAUACCAACGACAUCCUUGGACGUCGUUUCAGAACAGAUUCUUUCAUGCAUGACAAGAUAUGAAUCCCAAACGGAAUCUUUGAUUAAAACGUUAGGCUAACGUAAACGUAAAAGCUAUCGAGUUGAUCGGUAUAUUCUCAUUCGCAUUCUUCAGAUAAGUAUUGCUUAACUUAUUGACAGCAUGACGAAUAGCUUUAGGUGGUUUCAAAUCAUCGGAUAAAGGUUUAAAAUAGAAAAUUACGAGACAAUAGACAAAAGCAUUGCCUCGUGGUUGCGAUUCGUUGCAACUUAUGUCGUAACUCCAGAUUUGCCUUCAAAGCGUACCAAGAGAACGAGCUUCAUAUUCUUGAGAGAUAUUUGGUCGUGAAAGUUAUACUCAGAAUAAUGAUGAUCUCUAGUGAUCACGUGGAAGGAUGGACACACAUGUAGAUGCGCUUUGUAGGAAAUGUCGAUCGCGCAGCGCAACGUGCCGGAUGCCGGUAAGAUAAUGCGGCCAUGUCAUGACGCGUACUUCAAUCUGCACGCCUGCAGAGUGGUUCGAGGUCUAACGUUCCUCGAACGCGAAACGUAGUCAAUGUGUAAUGAAAACGUUCCCUAGGUCGACAGGAAGUAUCGAGGAAGUCAUAUCGAAUGGAUGAUGCUGGUGAGAAAACAAUAGAUGAAUUAAUUCCGAGAAUGACGAAUCAGAAUGCCUCGUCGGAAAAGAAUAUGAAUUUUUACGUAGAUAUACAAAAUACAGUGGCUCGAUAUAAAUGCACUUGAAGCUUGAAUGUUAAAGUUCGAGCUACUCGGAUGGAUGUUUUAAUUUUUACCUACAAUUACAGGUAAUAUUAAUAUAUAAAUUCCAAUAUACGGAGCGUUAUUCACAUUAUGAAACUUUAAUGAAAAAUCAAGAGGUUCUGAAUAAAAAAUAAUCGCGAUGGCGAUUAGGUAGAUAAGGAAAUAGA